rnacentral:rRNA from 1 species
CAGUAGCCGCGGGAACACGUAGGUCCCGAGCGUUGUCCGGAUUUAUUGGGCGUAAAGCGAGCGCAGGCGGUUAGAUAAGUCUGAAGUUAAAGGCUGUGGCUUAACCAUAGUACGCUUUGGAAACUGUUUAACUUGAGUGCAAGAGGGGAGAGUGGAAUUCCAUGUGUAGCGGUGAAAUGCGUAGAUAUAUGGAGGAACACCGGUGGCGAAAGCGGCUCCCUGGCUUGUAACUGACGCUGAGGCUCGAAAGCGUGGGGCGCAAACAGGAUUAGAUACCCCCGUAGUCCCUGUUUCUUAUACA